rnacentral:lncRNA from 1 species
AUGCAGCCCGGGCUGGAGCCCAAUGCCACGUCCGCCGCGGGGCUCGCGGCCACACCCGAGCCACUGUUGCGACUCGUCCUCGCCGGGGCCUGUGGCCUCGUCCUGCUGGUGGGGCUGCUGGCCAACGGGCUCAUGCUGCUGGUGGUGGGCCGCGGCCCGGGCGCCUCCCGGCCGCUCCUCGUCCUGACCAACAGCCUCAUGGUGAACAUCACGCUGUCUGACCUGCUCUUCCUGGCCUGCGUGGUGCCCGUGCUGCUGCUGAGCUUCCUGCGGCCUGACUGGUGGCUGGGCCCUGUCGUCUGCACCACCAGCCAGGCCACCAACAAUGCCACCAUGUUCUGUACCUUCUACAGCAUGGUGGCCACGGCUUUGCUGCGCCAUGUGGCCGUGGCCCGGCCUGAUGUGGCCCUCCCCUCUGGCAGGGGCGCCCGCCUGCUGCUCUGUGGGGCCAUGUGGGUCCUGGGCCUCACUGUGUCAUUGCCCAACUGGCUGUUCCAAAGGGUGGUUGUGGAGGAGGGGGCCGCAGGGGCCCGGGCCUGUCCUCUUGCUCCUGAGCCCGGCCCAGACCUCCUGCUACUUCACCCUGCUGGGAGCCCUGGCCUUCCUGCCUUGUAUGUUGGGGCUCGGCUGCUCUUUCAGCCACGUGGGCUGGCUCCUGUGGACACAGCCUCGUGGCCCCAUUGGGGAGAGCAUCCUGGAGCACCAGGAGAACACAGGGUUCAUCCUUGUGGUGCUGGUGGUCUUCGUGCUGAUGUGGGGGCCCUGCUCCGUGCUGGGCUAUGUGGCAGCUGUGGGUGGCCUGCCUGCCACGCCAGUGGCUUUCGUGGCAUCCAGCCUCUGCACCAUCCUGGCCUACUCCAAUUGUGCCGUCAGCCCUGUCCUCUGCUUCUACCUGUCCCGCCCCUUCCAGGCGGGGCUCAGGGAUCUCUUCCGCAGGCCAAGGGCAGCCAGGCGCCCUGGGCGUGUGGGUGGGGCCAGUGUGCUGCUGGAGAGCAUCCGGGACAGGGCCCCAGGAGGCCUAUGGGGUCUGGCUGGGGUCUGAGAAGAUAG